rnacentral:rRNA from 1 species
ACGGAAGGCAGCAGUGGGGAAUAUUGCACAAUGGGCGAAAGCCUGAUGCAGCGACGCCGCGUGAGUGAAGAAGUAUCUCGGUAUGUAAAGCUCUAUCAGCAGGGAAGAAAAUGACGGUACCUGACUAAGAAGCCCCGGCUAACUACGUGCCAGCAGCCGCGGUAAUACGUAGGGGGCAAGCGUUAUCCGGAUUUACUGGGUGUAAAGGGUGCGUAGGCGGCAAGGCAAGUCUGAAGUGAAAGCUCGGGGCUCAACCCCGGAACUGCUUUGGAAACUGUUUAGCUAGAGUACAGGAGAGGUAAGUGGAAUUCCUAGUGUAGCGGUGAAAUGCGUAGAUAUUAGGAGGAACACCAGUGGCGAAGGCGACUUACUGGACUGACACUGACGCUGAGGCACGAAAGCGUGGGGAGCAAACAGGAUUAGAUACCCUGGUA